rnacentral:rRNA from 1 species
GAUGAACGCUAGCUACAGGCUUAACACAUGCAAGUCGAGGGGAAACGGCAUUAAGUGCUUGCUCUUUUUGGACGUCGACCGGCGCACGGGUGAGUAACGCGUAUCCAAUCUUCCCAUGACUAAGGUUUAACCUGCCGAAACGCAGACUAAUACCUUAUGGUCUUCACUGACGGCAUCAGAUGAGGAGGAAAGAUUUAUCGGUUAUGGAUGGGGAGGCGUCUGAUUAGCUUGUUGGCGGGGUAACGGCCGACCAAGGCAACGAUCAGUAGGGGUUCUGAGAGGGGGGACCCCCGCAUUGGGACUGGGACACGGUCCAAACUCCUACGAGAGGCAGCAAAGAGGAAUAAUGGUGAAUGAGCGAGAGCCUGAAACAGCCAAGGAGCGUGCAGGAUGACGGGCCUAUGAGUUGUAAUCUGCUUGUGUAUGGGGAUAAAGUCAAUCACGUGUGAUUGUUUGCAGGAACCAUACGAAUAAGGACCGGCUAAUUCCGU